rnacentral:rRNA from 1 species
AUUGAACGCUGGCGGCAUGCCUUACACAUGCAAGUCGAACGGUAACGCGGGGCAACCUGGCGACGAGUGGCGAACGGGUGAGUAAUGCAUCGGAACGUGCCCAGUAGUGGGGGAUAGCCCGGCGAAAGCCGGAUUAAUACCGCAUACGACCUACGGGUGAAAGGGGGGGAUCGCAAGACCUCUCGCUACUGGAGCGGCCGAUGUCAGAUUAGGUAGUUGGUGGGGUAAAGGCCUACCAAGCCUUCGAUCUGUAGCUGGUCUGAGAGGACGACCAGCCACACUGGGACUGAGACACGGCCCAGACUCCUACGGGAGGCAGCAGUGGGGAAUUUUGGACAAUGGGCGCAAGCCUGAUCCAGCCAUGCCGCGUGCGGGAAGAAGGCCUUCGGGUUGUAAACCGCUUUUGUCGGGGAAGAAAUCUUCCGGGCUAAUACCUCGGGAGGAUGACGGUACCCGGAGAAUAAGCACCGGCUAACUACGUGCCAGCAGCCGCGGUAACAC